rnacentral:rRNA from 1 species
AUGCAAGUCGAGCGGAAACGAAGAGGUGCUUGCACCUCUGGCGUCGAGCGGCGGACGGGUGAGUAAUGCUUGGGAAUAUGCCUUAUGGUGGGGGACAACAGUUGGAAACGACUGCUAAUACCGCAUGAUGUCUACGGACCAAAGUGGGGGACCUUCGGGCCUCACGCCAUAAGAUUAGCCCAAGUGGGAUUGGCUAGUUGGUGAGGUAAUGGCUCACAAGGCGACGAUCCCUAGCUGGUUUGAGAGGAUGAUCAGCCACACUGGGACUGAGACACGGCCCAGACUCCUACGGGAGGCAGCAGUGGGGAAUAUUGCACAAUGGGCGCAAGCCUGAUGCAGCCAUGCCGCGUGUGUGAAGAAGGCCUUCGGGUUGUAAAGCACUUUCAGUAAGGAGGAAAGGUUAAGUGUUAAUAGCACUUAGCUGUGACGUUACUUACAGAAGAAGCACCGGCUAACUCCGUGCCAGCAG